ensembl:lncRNA
GAAGAUCCCUGUGUGCCUGAGGCCUUCUGAAGAUUCGGUUCAUGGGGUACCGCCAUCAUUAAGUGUUUUCCUGCAAUCUCACCUAUCUCUACAUUUACACACCACUCAAUACUUGAAGCAAAAUGAAUGUGUAGUUCUUCUGCAGAUCAAACCGCCACAUUUCUUAUGCCAGUUAAAAGAAGAAUGGAUUUUUACUGCAUGCACCUAGAAAAUAUGCUGUAACACCUAAGAAAAAACUGUCAAGAAGCAAAAUAUGCAUUACCAGCUUGUAUUACCCUAUGCUAAGAUGUAUAGGGAGGCUGAAGCAAAGGGAAUUCAGUUCUUUUUCUGGGCAUCAUAACAUACAUCCCUAUUGGUGCUCUCAAGGCUUUCAAUAAUUGGAAGAAAAUGACAUAAAUCCACUUAAAACAGGUAAUCAAAUAUGACAGUGGUAUAAGUUGCCAAAUUUCUCUGCUCUACACUCUCAAGUCUCUCAUUCUGGAAAAUGUGGAUGAACUAAGUUCUCGAUUAAUAUUUCAGAAGCCCUCUGAGUCCCAUAACCGAAGAGAUUGCAGGUAAAUCCAAUGUUGGAUUUCAUUUUCAUGGGGAAUCUCCUCUGGAAUGAUCCCCUGAUGAAUAGAGAUGAAAGUGGAAGGCCUAAUUACCUCUGAAAGAACCUGACUGACAAAAAAUCCAAGGCAAGGCAUAUCUAGAAGAAAAAGGAUUCUACGCUCUGUCAGCGACCUCCUUUAAACUGUCUCAGAUGGGAUGAAUAGCAUAAAUCACCAAUCUAUUUUGACUGCUCAAUCUGAGCCAGGUUUUAAGCAGCAUGCUGCACUGCACAGGCUACAUUAAUCUGUCUACAAACCAAAACACACAGAGCUGCAUCUGCUCCUGCCUGUCAACAAAGAAUAGUCCUCAUCUUCCUGAAAAUCAAGGACUACCUUUAUUUGAGAAGGAACACUUCCAGUUCAAAGAAUGACUUCAGAAGUUUCAGGGAAAAUAUACACUGUGUUAUUCAACUCAGUGCUGGCUUUGUUUGCAGACCUCAUGCAGAGGUGGUAGAAAUAUCACAUUCUUUCUCUCUCAGUUUUGACCAUGAAACUAUCUUAAGAAUUGGCUCUGACUAAUCCUUAGCAUAUCCUUUAGUAAAAGAAAAUAAACCCAGCAGGAACAAAAAACCAAUUAUCAAAAGAAAAAAACUGUAACAGAAGAGAUGCCAUUUGUCUUUUCACUAAUUCCUAGUAUUACAAGACUGUGGAAAAAGAAAGAAUACCGAGGUCAGUUGGAAGCUGCAAUAUUUCUACAUCUUAGCAUUUAAUCCCUUCAGGAAACUCAGCAAGAAGAGAAAUGCAGACAAACUUUAAGAAGCUGUGCUGGAGCAAGUUUUUCUUCCUCUAGUUUUGAGUGUUUUGUAGACAGCAAUCCAAGAAAAGCUCUUAAUGUUUAAAAAUUAAGUAGAUGGGAAAAUAGCUAAUAUUUAUAAGUUCAUAAGCUGUUUAUAUAGAAAAGUGUUAUUUCUUAACAAAUUGCUUAUCGCAAUUUUUAGGUUGCUCUUGUAACAGAACCUCAACAGAUCUGACAGCUGAUUUUAAGUUAUCUUCAAAUUCAUUAGUGAUGUG